ensembl:snRNA U6 U6 spliceosomal RNA
GUGCUUGCUUCAACAGCACAAAUACUAAAACUGGAACAAUACAGAGAAGAUUAGUAGGGAUCCUGCACAAUGAUGACACUAAUUUGUGCAGCUCUCCAUAUUAAA